rnacentral:rRNA from 1 species
UACGAAGGGGGCUAGCGUUGCUCGGAAUUACUGGGCGUAAAGCGCACGUAGGCGGAUUGUUAAGUCGGGGGUGAAAUCCUGGAGCUCAACUCCAGAACUGCCUUCGAUGCUGGCGAUCUCGAGUUCGGGAGAGGUGAGUGGAACUGCGAGUGUAGAGGUGAAAUUCGUAGAUAUUCGCAAGAACACCAGUGGCGAAGGCGGCUCACUGGCCCGAUACUGACGCUGAGGUGCGACAGCGUGGGGAGCAAACAGG